rnacentral:misc_RNA from 1 species
AUUUAAUUUUAAAAUUUUAAAUACUUGUAAACUCAAAUUAGCUUAUAAACACUAAAUACUUAUAAAUUUUUCAUAAACUAAGCUAAAUACCCACUUACACUAUAAAAUUUGGCAAAUUUGCACGACACAAUGCAAAGAUAAAUAUCUGCAUCUCAAGAAUAGAAAUAUAACGAUACAAAAUCACCUCAUCUCACCACAAUGAUUGAACAUAAUAUAAAACCUAACACUAAAGCUAAGUGGACUCUAGCAGCAACUCAGCUAUCUGGAUGGCAUUAAGUGCAGCCCCCUUGCAUAUUUGACUUCCAUAGACAAAGAUAUCCAACCUACUUGGAAUUCCAAAAUUACUAAAAUGAGUAAUGUAGUUUUUUUAGAGAUACACAAUUAUUUAGUACAAAAAUAUAUAUAUAAACCAUUAAGAAUUUUUACCCCUAAUUCCCUUCUUGAGACACAUCUCAGCGGAUUCUACCAAUUGCAACAUCUUUUUUGUUUGAUACCUCUAAUGGGGCUAAUUAUUAGAUACACUGGGAGCACUAAAAAAUAGUAGUCCCUCACUCAUAGAAAAGUGAGUCUUUCUUGUAAUAUAGAAAGUAAGUCCCACAUAAUUGUGAAAGAUAAUACAUGUGCACCAGGUAUACCUAAUAAUUUCUCCUCUGAUGGUGCAGGGAAGUGAUUGGAUGCAGUCAUCAAUAACCACCACCCACGAGGCAUUCUUCAAAAUAUCCAUUGUUGUGUCCUUUAAUUACUCAUUGAUCCUUAGCAAUUCCAUUUUGUCCCUCAUCAAGGGGCUUCUCAAAUUGAAGAUUCACACUUUUGGCAUGCGCUCGCUUUGCAGGAACUGGUAUACAUGUUGCAGUAACUUGAACAUUCAUGUCAUUCCAAAUUUUACGGGUUCCUUUUACUAAUGUCAUUUCCUCUUCAUUGUAUCCAUUUGAUAGGACUGGUGCAUUGUGUGAAAAUAAAUUAAAAGCAUACUGUUGCUUAAAGAUUUUGCACGUGGGUGGUUUUCCUUCCAAGACCUCACGAGUCUGCAGCUCCAGCUCCUCCAUUGCGGCAGCACCAGCACCACUGGCUGCCUGAUAAGUACUAACAACCAUGCGUUGCAC